CGAUGCAGCUCUCCUCAACUUGCCACCAAAUUCACCAGAUGCUCAGGUUUUUACCAACUUGGGGAAAAUGCUGCCGGCCCUGUAGCAGGAGGGCCAGCUGGUAGUGCGGCGGUUCCGAGUCCAAGCAGUGGCGGACCACCCACGUCGCAGCAGAAAACCGGUGGUUGUGGUGGCAAACUGAAUACCAACAGACUACUUCUUACGGCCUUUGCUGCUGUUAUAACACUAUUUUCUCCUCAACUUUAAAAACUAAACUCAACUAAAAUAAAAUUAUAGUACUUCCAUCUUUUCAUUCCAGUAUGCGUUCACGAUAUUUCUCUUUUUUCCAAUCUGUGUGGAGUAAUAAAGUUAAGUUAUUUAUCCUUUGAA